UUCCUGUGGUCAAAUGGGGUCACCUGUCCCAGCUGUCUCCUCCCAACCUGCCAUGCACCCCCAACUUUCUUGCCAGCGUGGCAGUAUGAAAAGCAGAAAAGGCCUUGACUCUGUGUAAGCACUGCCCAGCAAAACCAAAAACAUCUCUGUUAUCAACCCUGUGUUCAGCACAAAUCCAAAACACAGCCCCAUACCAGCCACAGUGAAGAAAAUUAACUCUACCCCUGCCAAAACCAACACAGCAUCUGACAAUAUCACUUUUCUUGGAAAUAUGCCAUAUCAGACAGCGACCAG